rnacentral:rRNA from 1 species
UACGUAGGGUGCAAGCGUUGUCCGGAAUUAUUGGGCGUAAAGAGCUCGUAGGCGGUCUGUCGCGUCGAAUGUGAAAACCCGGGGCUCAACCCCGGGCCUGCAUUCGAUACGGGCAGACUAGAGUUCGGUAGGGGAGUCUGGAAUUCCUGGUGUAGCGGUGAAGUGCGCAGAUAUCAGGAGGAACACCGGUGGCGAAGGCGGGACUCUGGGCCGAUACUGACGCUGAGGCGCGAAAGCUAGGGGAGCAAACGGG